UUAAAACUGUAGACAAAUUAACAUUGGAAUAAAUUGCAUAACAUUACUAGUGGAUCUGCAUAAGAUCUGCAACAUUUAUUGAAACCUUUAUUUAUUGACAAAUACCUCCGUGUUUAACAGCUGUCUUCUCAUGGGUUUGCAUAUGUGCCACAACAUAUGUAUACACUUGCUACAGAACUCACAUUUGUAGUUUGGGCCUUCAUAAAUUGGAUUUUGCAAUAUUCCUUCCCUAAAAACUGUUGGAAGCAAAUUAAUUAAGAAUUUUAUUAUUUACACACAUCAACAUUUAAUCAAAAACACUUUACAACACUUUCCAAAAGAGUCAUGUUCUCUAAAGGUGUAUUACACCCACAUCAUUUCAGUAAGCUCAUUAAGUUCUCUAUUCAGGCUGAAGUUGAAGAGUAAAACGGAGAAAAAUUAAUUCAAUUUAUAUUAAUUUAAAUAAAGAUGCAUUUUCACAUUUGUCUGGAUUAAUGUGGAAAUGGCCUAAAUUAACACGUCCAACAACGCAAACAUUUUCAUUAUUUAUGUGUGGGAUAUGUGGGGAAAAAGAAUAAUGUUACAAAUUGCACGUUACAGAUAGGGCUCCCAAAUUAUCCUAUUGUUAAUUAACCUUAACGUUAAUUAAUACGCCAUAUUGUAAACCUCAGUUCAGCCAGCCACUUAUAUUAUUUCAUCAGCUAACGCUAAACUAAUUUAUUCUACAUUUCAGUUCGACAUAUAUAAGUAAGCAAAGUUAUUACCCCGCCAGAACGUAAAAAUAUUGCUUACUUAACAAUGCUAAGAGAGGAAGUUUAAGUUUUAAUAGAUUAUCAACUCCAGUAAACAAUACCAAUAUGUCUUACUACUGUAUGAAAAUGAUUUUUACACUUCAAUUUAAACAGUUAUCUCUGGAAAAUAUACGUACCGUUGUCUCUAUGAGUAGCAUCUGUCUGCACAACCGGAGGCUGCAUUUUCAGGACCGCAGUUCUAGUACCGCAUUUCUAGGACCUUAGAUGUUUAGUGACAACGCCACCUACCGAAUUACAGGACCAGUGACCACAUGCUUUUCGGAAGAGAUGGACGACAUUCAGAGUUGAGUAUCAAAUAAACACACAAUCCAAGAAGGAAGAUCCUUUCCUGGACUUAAGAGAUGCACCACAUGCUGCAAGGAGUUCCUCUGCCCGUUCUGCAGUUCUGCUUUGUUUCACCCAACAAAGUGGAGCAAAGUGAAAUCCCAUUUGGAGAGCCAUUUCAAACGCAGUUCUCCAUGAAGACCAUCAUAUAUGGCCUGGCUGGGCUGCAGAAUUUCUCUGUGGGAUGUUGAGAAGGCCUUCUUCUCUGGUCCGGAUUAUCAUCACAGGCAGAGCCGUUGAAAAACAGAGUUGCGACACUCCCAUAGACCUCCAUAGGAACUUUGGAAUGCGGAAGUAACGCGUGUCGUGGAGCAGCCGAUAGUUCCAAACACUGAUAGUUCCAGCACUGAACCCCAUUCAUUUUCAGUGACUCUGAAGUUCGCUCGCUGGUCUGUCCAGCAGCAACAGGCUUGACUCAACUCCAGACCCGGCCUCCUCUGGGCUCUGACACAGGCUGUUUCCACCUGAAGUUAACAUGCAUUUUGGUCGAUCGGAUCAUAAGUGGACGACGGAGACACAUACAUGUUUACACCUGGUGUUUUAAUCCAUCUGUUUUGUCCUCUUUCAACCACUUCUGUCCUGAUUUCUUUGAGGGGGUGGGUAAAUGUAUGGGUUUUUACAGAUCUUUCAAUCUAAUGGACAAAAUAAGCUUAAGCAGUUUACAUAUGAACGCACCCAGAGAUGACAGGAAAACAUAUUGAGAGCAUCAGUGUUCGCUUCUGCUCUGACAGCCGUGAGACCAGCCGAACGCUGUGAGUGUGUGUUAGAAAUCAGGAAUGGUGAGAGAACAUUGUGCUUGGUACGUUUUUCAUCUUUGAACCAAACUUUGGUCUUCAGCCAACAAAGUUUAAAUCCUGUCUGGCUCGAGUGCUUCCCAUAAUGUUUACACAUUAGGUCAGUAGAUGGAGAGUAGAGUAAACAUGAGCGUUUACACUACGAAAGCAGUCCGGUCGAAUGCAUUUGAGUCUGCUUCUGGAAGUGGUUGAAAGUGGAUAAACUUAAACCGUUUUAGACCCUGUUUACACCUGUAUUUAAUGUUGUCCACUUGUGAUCCGAUCAGCCAAAACGCAUCUUAAUACCAGGUGGAAACAGGCCCACAGUCUGCUUCUGGCAGUGGAAUGCUCUCACCCAAAAAUUCAACAGGUCUCCAGAUCAUCCUACAGCUGCGCUGGAAGAAUGUAAUGGAUAUUGUGAACACUUAUAUUCCUUUUCUGGCCUGCUUUCUGCCAUCUUUCUCUCCCUGUAGGAAGUCAAAUGAGUUUCUUUGAAGACAGAACAUUCAAGGAAAAUUUACCUACCCUCUCCCUGGAUAUAAUAUAUAAUUAAAUGUUUUGUUGAA